GCUGCCCAAGAUUGGUGCCUCCUGUUCGUUGCUCGCCAUGGUGGCGAGAACAGCUUGGAGCUCCUGGUCUCCGACAGCCAGCUCCCUGAUCUGCGCCAGGGGAGUCGUGAAGCUGCUCCCGGGAGUUUUCCCACGGCGGUCCUUGGUCUGCAGCCGUCAAAACUGGUCGUCGGGCAACCACUCUCUCCUCCUUCGUCGGCGAUGGUGUACCCCGGCCGAUGAAUGUUGGUCUACAACAACCUCCAAGCCAAGAUGCCACUGCAGAGGCCCUCCUACUCCAGCACAGAAUGCUCCUGGCUCAUCACCUCAAGUGGUCUUGUCCCCGGCGGUGAGGCGCUCGUCUGUAUUGUGAGUUAUGCUAGCGGUGCCUGCGGCGGAGGACUGGUUUGUAAUUUCUCCGUGCUUUGUAGUUCUUCUUGUAAUUGUGACUCUUGAUACAAGCUUUUAGGUCCCUCUGUUAAACUUUUUUUUACUACCAUCCGGAGUCGGACCCACGUCAUCACACGUGUAUGGCGUGACCGUCGUUAACGGAUCAGAACGCCCUCGUGCCAGGGAUGGGAUAAGAUAACGAAGGCAGCAACCGCCUCGCGCUCACCUCCCACCGCUCCCCUUUCCCACCAAAACCCGCGUGGCCCUACGCCGUCGGGUCGUCUCCGACCACGACUUGGAAAAGGUCGAACGCCACCGCCGCACCGACUCCUUCCCGGAAACCCAUCGCUUCAACCGACCUCCGCGGCCUCUAUAAAUACCACCCGAUCCCCCGUGGGUUUCCUCGUACCGGAGGAUCUGAUGAUUUCUCCUCUCUUCUUCUUUCGUGCCUCUCCUCCGGUAAGCCCGCAGGUAUGGUCUGUCGGUUCGGAUCUCGCGUUCCAAAUGUCGAUGCUGUUUGUUUGAUGAUGAUCUUCCAGGCGAGCGUAUCCAUUUGGUUUCUGGUGCUUAGUCCGUUGAGAUCUAGGUCUUGGUGAUUCCCGCUCUGCUCCGUAGCGUCGGUAUUGUGUUCUGAACUAUGCUGCUUCGAUUUAGGGUCGUGGCUAAUCUAUCAUCAUGUGCUGAUUGCUGGGUGAUUCAGGGUCGUGGCUUAUAUAUUGUAUCCUAAUUGCUCGCUUUUUUACAUUUGGCCAGAAUAAUGAUUCGUAUAGUUGUGAUCAGUCCGUUUGCCUUUCGUUCCUGUUCGGUAUGGUGGAUUGCCCAGGUCGGUUUAGUUGAUUCCGUGGAGGUGUUUGACAUGAUCGGAAUUGAAGGUUGUGGUGUGAAUUGGUCUGUUACUUUCAAGGUUCAUUCAAUAGUGUUCUGCUUUCCGAUUGGAAGAAUAGUGGGCUGGAGACAGUUCGGAUAGUGGAAACUCUGCAUAUUUUGCUUUUGAUCCUGUUCCUUCAUGACUUGGUCUGCCUGGAAUUAUUAGACAUAGUUGGAAAAGCUUUGCUAGAUCUGCCUGGAAUUGCUUGCUUUCUCGGAGCUAUAUAUUUGAGAUUAUCUGAUGGAGGUUGUGCUAUAUCAUGGGCCUUCUUAUAGAAGGUAGAUGCCAGGAUGGUGUAGUUUGGAAAUGUUUUUUGUUCAACUGUGUGGACAUGCUCAUGGCGAGGUGAUUCUUCCGUGGUGACAUUUGGUUCUGUUUGGUCAGUUUAAUUUCUAGGAGGAUUAAUUAAUUUUGUUUGGAAAGUACUUUAAUGGUAGUAGAGGUAUCUCUUUGAAGUUGUCCGUUUGAAGGUUCUUUGAAGUGCAGUAAGAUGUCAAGUAUUCUUUGAGUUGUGUCUGCUGGACUAAGUUUACUGCUGCUGUUUUUCACUUGGGUGUUACCGUCAAGGUCUUGUUCAGAUUCAUUGCAAAAAAAGGUGUUAUUCAGAUGUUGCUACUGCCUAGAAUCUUCUCAUCUUUUAUGAUGAUAUGGCCUUCGCUAGUAUGGUUGGAUAUCUACUUCAUGGUGGUUUCUGCUGGUUUGCGUGUUUAAUGAAGUGUUGGAUUAGCUAAGUAGAUUUAGCUUGUUAAUUUGAACCUGGCAUUGUAAUAUAUGUUGUACAUAACUGUUGAUCACACAUCUUGUCUGAUGUUGGAAAUUGUAACUGUUUAAUGAUAUAUAUGGAUGACCCUGAUUUAGUUUUCUAUUGUUAGAGUUGUUACCAUGGAUGGCUUGUUUUUUUACUUGGGUGCAUUGAAGUUGUAAUAAAAUAUAGCUUGAUCUUGUUUGGCCUGCAUGUAUUAAACCUAAUUUUGUAUCAAAUUCAAUAUGAAGUUCCAUCUUUGUGUGCAAGUUCAUCUAUUAGAUUGUUGGGAGCAUCACGUAUAUAUGUGCGUGUCGAGCAUUUCAUUCAGAUUUGAUCUUGUCCUUUAAUCUUUAACAAGUUAAUUGAUAAAUAAGUUGCAAUGCUCAUCAUAUCUCAUAUAUAUAUUGCUGUUUAGCCAUUUUAGGAUUCAUUUGUUGAUCCAACAUCUAAAUUUCUAUAACAUGUUCCUUGGCUAUGCAUUUAUUCUUGGCUCUGUAUUGUUCGUUAUGUUUUAUCCUAUCACCAUUUUAGUCACAUGGUUCAGUAUUAAGCUUGGAUUUAUGUGAGAUAAGUAGGUGUUGCUCUUUCUGUAGUCUAGUUUCUGAACCUGAUCAAUGAAUUAAGUUGUUUAUGUGCUUCUGAACUUAAAAUUAUUUUAUUACUGUUAAAUGAUAUAUAUACAUGACCUCAUUUUGAACCUGGCCUUCACUGUGAGGGUUUGAAUUACUUCAUCAUGAUUUAAAUUCGGCUUCUGCUAGUUUGCGUGCUUAGCGCAGUGUCAGAUUAGCUAAUUAGCUCAUCGGAAUUAUAUACAACAUAUAAGCCUGAAAGAGUUGUUACCAUGGAUGGCUUGUUUACUUUUCUGCUCGGAUGCAUUGAAGUUGUAACUAAAUAUAGGUUGAUCCUUUAUUUGACUUGUUAAACCUAAUUCUUGUGACCCAAGAUCGACAUAAAUAUCCAGGUUCAUCGUUGUGCAGGGUUUAUCUAGUUGAUUGUUGGAAGCAUCGCUUUGUUGAGGAGUUUGCUGAUAUCAAGUUAAUAAUGAGCACAUUGAACUAAAUUUUAUGUACCUGUGCAUGGAGCUCUUCAUUCAGACUUCAAUGAUUAUGUCCUCUAUUCUUCUUGAACAAGUUAAUUAAUACCGUCUAACUUUCAUAUUAUGAUUCCUUGGGUACGCAUGUAGUCUUGGUUCUGUAUCCUUCUUCAGUUUAUGUAUUAUCCUAUCACCAUUUUAGUCACAUAGUUCAGUGUUAAGCUUAGGAUUAUGUGAGAUAAGUAGGUUUAAUUUAUGCAUCGUUCAUUUCUGUAGUAUAGUUUUUGAACCUGAUCAAUGACUUACGUUGUUCAGGUGCUUAUGGUACCUAAGAUUAUCUUGUAGCUUAAAUGAUUUAUAACAAUAUUAUCGUCUGAUUUGGAACUUCAUGCUGGCCUUGUACUAUGAAGAACAUAGUUCAGUAUCUUGCUUGGGGUAGAUCUUUAAGAUAUCUUCACGUGUGAUUUGGAACUAAUGUUGCACAUAAUUUUUUUUGUUACACAUCCUGUCUGAUGUUGCAUACUAUAAAUGUUAAAUCAUGUAGGGAUACUCCUUGUUUACUCUUGAAAGAGAUGUUACCAUUGAUGUGUAGAGUGCUUCCUUCUGUGAUCUUGUCCUCUUCUCUUAUUGAACAAAUUAAUUGAUAAAUUAAAUGCCGUGCUCUAUCUAUGUUGCUGUGUUCUUGAAGUCAUGCACAGAUUGCCUUCUAGCUGUCAUUGUCAUAUGGGUUGAUGUAUAUUUAUCCGGUGUUCUUUUUUUUCGCGAAAACGCAAAAGCAUUGCGUUCCGAUGCAUUGAUAGAAAAGAAGGUUAUAUGUACAAGUCCCCUAGAGGACACACCCCGCCAUACAACUCAACCCAAGAAAACUAGUCUAGGGGAGGAGCUGACGGACACCCCGGGCUCCCGCGUCCGCCCAUAGCCGCGCAUCGGACCUAAUGUCGUUGAAUAGGGAUGUCACCGAAGGCCGCGCAUUGUCGAAGACCGCCGCAUUUCGGUGUUUCCAAAUCCACCACGCCGUAAGCAUGAUAACCGACGAAGUUCCUUUGCGCAGUUGGCGGGGGGCGGUCCGCACAGCCUGCGACCACCACUCCGCGAAGUCACCCUCCACCGUGGGAGGACCUGAGGUGGAUCGGAUCCACGAGAGGACCUCAAACCACACCAUCCUGGAGAAAGAACACCCAGUGAGCAGGUGCGCCAUGGUCUCCACAGCCUGAUCGCACAGCGGGCAUGUAGGCGCAUGCGGUAAGCCCCGCCUCGCCAGCCUCUCACCCGUCCAGCAUCUGUCCAUGCAGGCCAGCCAUAUGAAGAACUUCACCCUUGGCGGCGCCCAAGAUUAUCCGGUGUUCUAAUUUACUAUAAAAAUGUUUCUUGGCUGGCUUUUUGGUUCAUGAGUGUAUAUCUGAAUCUAUUCCCGUUUUCAGUAUAGUAAGUAUUGGUUUAUUUGGAAUUUUAUAGUUCUGUUGGAUGGUCUGCAUCCCUUUUAUGGUUUCACAACGUGAUCAUUGAGUUAAGUUCAUGUGCUUAGGUACUUGUGUUUAUGUGUAUUCCUUAGUUCUUAAGUUUCAGUUCCUAUGCUGCACAACCUUAUUUCGUGAAUUUGGUGUCUCUAUUAUUUUAUUCAGCGACAAUUUUUCCAUGAACCUUUUUACGUGCUAAGUAGAAGUUAGUAUCCUAUCAUCUUAUUAAAUGUCUAUUGUUCAUGUGAAACUAUUGUUGAAGACAAUUUGGCUGACAUCACCUGAAUAAAAAAUGAUAAUAAAUAAUAGGGAUGCGACAACUUCACUCAUGCAGUCAUGCUUACCUUGUUUUGUUUGGUAUCUCAGUAUUUUCAAAACUAAAGUAUUCCAUUGCUUGGCUAAUAAAUAUCACUGUUUUAGAAAAAAAAAGAGGGCAAACCAUUUUCUCCAAUACUCCAAAAAACCCUAGUUUUAGACAUUUUGGUUUCAACACUGUUUCCGAAAAAAAGAGGGCAGACCUCUUUCGCCAAUACUCGAAAAAAAGAAGUUUUAGACACUUUGGUUUCAAAACCGCAAUAUUUGUUAUGGCUUAUGUCCGAACAUCUCAAAGUAUUUUAAACUAUAAACUAUAGUAUUAUGAAGAAACUUCAAAAUUUAUCGGGCUGCCAAACACACCCUUAGUUUCUCAAUAUCCCUUGGUUAUUUCUCAAAUAAUUGUAUCUGAAACCUGAUUACCUCAAAUGAUAUUUACUUGUAACUUGUAUGUUUAGAAUUUUCUUUCUGAUGUUGCUUGCCUUUCUCCCAUUGCUGUUUGAAAAUUGUAUUAAAAGCUUGUUAGUACCGUGUUUUCAGAUUGUUGUGCUAGUAAAAAUUAGCUUAUUCUCUUGCUUUUUCUCCAACAUUCUGUAUUAGCUUCAUCCAUUUGUUGUCUUCAUGUGAUGUUUGUUUCAGCUUUGUUUUGUAUCUAUGUUGCUCUCAUGAUCUUUUCAUCUUUGUUGUACAAUGUCUGAUUUAGCUUGCCUUUUGCCCCUUAUCUGUCUGAUAUUGUAAGCAUGUUACAUAAUUUGAUGACAGUGUUAUUAUAUACUCCCUUCGUUCCUUUCUAUAGUGCCUAUAGAUUUUUGGCAUUUGUUUCAGAAUAUAAGGUUGUAGCUUAGCUUUUUUCAAUUACCCCCUCCCGGCUCAGCUCCCAAAUUUGUUAUGGUAAGUUAGGAAGAUAUGGAUUUCCCAAAUUUUACGUUGAUCUCAAAUCGUUUAGCUAGGGGUCUUGUGUAAAAAAUACUCUUGCGCUAAUUUCCGUGCCAAAAAACUAUAGGCACUAUGAAUGUAAAGUGCUUCAUUCUCAAAAUCAAAAACCUUGGAUUGACUUUCGGCAUUCUGCUAUCUACUUCAACAACUAUGUCCCUAAUUCAUGUGAUGUCAUCGCAAGUUUUGGUUCCUACAAUAUUAUAUUUUUAUGGCUUUAUUCAGUGUGUUGAAAUCAUUUAUGUAUCUUGAUCAUUUUAUUUAAGUUCACAUUUAUCUUUUAGAUAGAUUAUGUUACAUACUAAGUAGAAAUUAAUAUUUGAUGAUCUUAUUCAAUGACUGUUGUUCACAACUUUGUAGCUAAUGUUAUGAGCUUUGCUAAGUACAAGUUGUAUGUUCUAUGCUUACAUUGUCUAAGAUAAGUAGUAGAAGUAUUUUUUUUUAUAAAAGGUAGAAGUUGUAUGUUCUAUGCUUGCGUUGUUUAAGACAAUGUUUUAGAUGUCCCCUGAAUAAUAAAUAAUAGAUAUGUGGCUACUGCCACUCAUGCUUAUUUUUAAUUUCUGAAUUUUGGUUGUUAUGCAGAUCAUUUUAGAUAGAACCUAACUUCUGCAGUUAAUAUUUACUUCUAACAUUUAUGUCUGCAUAUUUUCUUUCUGAUUUCUUGCUUUUUCUCAUUGCUGUUUGGUAUUUGCAUCACAAGCUUAUUGCGCACUAUAAUAUUUAUUUAGUGUUGGAGUAUUUUUCAGCCUCUUUUAGUAUGGUUAGUUGUUGCUAUUUAUUCUGUUACAUUUGUGUGUUAGAAUCAAGGUUAUUAAGAACUAUGCCCUUCUAGUUUUGAGUUUCUGUGUUGUUUUCCAUUAUCUUGUUUUAAAAUCUAUGUAGAUUUUCCUGUAAAUGUUCUCCUUUUUGUACUUUGUAUAUCUAAUAUUUGUAUGUACUGUCGUGGUUCCAAAUCUGUUACCUCGUAAUGUACCUAAUUUUUGUUACUCAAGUUUCCAUCUCAUAAUGUAUCAUUCUUGACGUAUGACUUUCUUUUUCCUAGGUACAUCUAGCUUUCACACCUGUGUAUGAAUUUUAUAUGCUUGCUUUUCCUGUUUCUUCUAACUGCCCUAAAGAUUUACUGAGACCAAUUGAGUUACAGUUCAUGUCC